rnacentral:rRNA from 1 species
GACGAACGCUGGCGGCGUGCUUAACACAUGCGAGUCGAACGGAAAGGCCCUGCUUUUGUGGGGUGCUCGAGUGGCGAACGGGUGAGUAACACGUGAGUAACCUGCCCUUGACUUUGGGAUAACUUCAGGAAACUGGGGCUAAUACCGGAUAGGAGCUCCUGCUGCAUGGUGGGGGUUGGAAAGUUUCGGCAGUUGGGGAUGGACUCGCGGCUUAUCAGCUUGUUGGUGGGGUAGUGGCUUACCAAGGCUUUGACGGGUAGCCGGCCUGAGAGGGUGACCGGCCACAUUGGGACUGAGAUACGGCCCAGACUCCUACGGGAGGCAGCAGUGGGGAAUAUUGCACAAUGGGCGGAAGCCUGAUGCAGCAACGCCGCGUGCGGGAUGACGGCCUUCGGGUUGUAAACCGCUUUCGCCUGUGACGAAGCGUGAGUGACGGUAAUGGGUAAAGAAGCACCGGCUAACUACGUG